rnacentral:rRNA from 1 species
GGAAUUGACGGGGCCGCACAAGCGGUGGAUUAUGUGGAUUAAUUCGAUGCAACGCGAAAAACCUUACCUGGCCUUGACAUGUACCGAAUUUACCAGAGAUGGUUUAGUGCUCGAAAGAGAACGGUAACACAGGUGCUGCAUGGCUGUCGUCAGCUCGUGUCGUGAGAUGUUGGGUUAAGUCCCGCAACGAGCGCAACCCUUGCCAUUAAUUGCCAUCAUUUAGUUGGGCACUUUAAUGGGACUGCCGGUGACAAACCGGAGGAAGGUGGGGAUGACGUCAAGUCCUCAUGGCCCUUAUGGCCAGGGCUUCACACGUAAUACAAUGGUCGGUACAGAGGGUCGCCAACCCGCGAGGGGGAGCCAAUCCCAGAAAGCCGAUCGUAGUCCGGAUUGUAGUCUGCAACUCGACUACAUGAAGUCGGAAUCGCUAGUAAUCGCGGAUCAGCAUGUCGCGGUGAAUACGUUCCCGGGCCUU